rnacentral:rRNA from 1 species
AUGGUGCCGGAGCAUGGUGAUGAUGGUGAUGGAUCGGCGACGGUGCGGGACUGUGGUGAUGAUGGUGGUGGAUCGAUGAUGGAGACGGAGCUUGGUGAUGGUGGUGGUGGCUCGGUGAGUGGGCCGGAGCAUGGUGAUGAUGGUGGUGGCCCGACGAGUGGGCCGGAGCAUGGUGAUGUUGGUGGUGUCCCGCGUGGGCGGGAGCAGGCGCCGGCGCUGGCCCGUGAUGGCGAUGAUGGCUUGGCGCCGGGGCAAGAUGGCCAUGAUGGUGAGUGGGGCUUGGUGCUUGAGCCGGCGCGUGCUGGUGCUCCUUGUGCGCCAAGGAGAGCGCGGCCAGCGUGGCCAGCACCAGAGCCAUCACCACAGCGGUUGGCGACAGAGAAGUCGCCAUGGCGAUAA